UAGCAGUAAAAGCAGGUAGCAGGUUGUGAGGUUUAGGAUACGGUAUGAGUUUUAUCAUUAAUUUCAUAUAUAGAGUAGUGCAAAGUAUGCUGCAGUUGUUGUCGCUUGGUAAACGUACAAUAUCAAACUCACUGAGUGUAUACAUUAAAACAAAUACAGGAGGUACGAUAUCAGUGGAACUAGACCCGAAAUGGUAUAUAAAGAAUGUGAAAGAGCUAGUUGCAACAAGGUUAGGGUUGUCACCAGAAGAAGUUAAAAUAAUUUUUGCAGGAAAAGAACUUCAUGAUUCGAUCGUUAUAGAGGAGUGCGAUUUGGGGCAGCAGAGUGUCCUCCAUGCUGUGAAGUCUCAUCCUUCCCCAAAGAAACCUGGUCUGGAGACUCCUAGUCAGGGUUCUAGGCCUCUGAGUGAGGCCCUGAUCAACCUUCAGUUGAGCGACCAAGAGCGACACAAUCUCAAGAGUGAUGCAGAUCACGAAAGGAAGCAUGCACACUUCUAUGUGUACUGUGCAUCACCUUGUAAAGAGAUGAAGCUUGGCAAGCUUCGUGUGCGCUGUGCAUCCUGUCACAGUGGUGCCUUUACCGUAGACAGAGAUCCACAAUGCUGGAAUGAUGUCUUAGAAGUUAGGAGAAUCACUGGUGAUUGUCAGAAUGAUGGCUGUACUGGGAGUGAUGAUGGACCAAAGUUUGCAGAUUUCUACUUCAAAUGCUCUGAACACACUUCACAGGGGGAGGAUGACCAAGCUGUGCCAUUGUACCUCAUCAAGUCAAAUUUUCAAGAUGUUCCCUGCCUUGCAUGCACCGACAUCAGUGAUCCUGUGCUGGUGUUUCCAUGUGACAUGGCACACGUAACAUGCCUGGAUUGCUUCCGAACAUACUGUGCUGCACGACUGAGGGACCGACAGUUCUGGUUAGACCCAGAGUAUGGCUACACACUACCUUGUCCAGCAGGGUGCAGGGACUCCCUUAUCACAGAGGUGCACCACUUUCGACUUCUGACAUCUGCUCAGUAUGGGCAGUACCAGAGGUUCGCUACAGAGGAGUAUGUUCUGCAGGCAGGAGGGGUACUCUGCCCCCAGCCGGGCUGUGGCAUGGGCAUCCUUGCUGAGCCAGAUUGUCGAAAGAUCACAUGUAUCAGUGGCUGUGGGUUUGUCUUCUGCCGCCAGUGCCUGCAGGGGUACCAUCUUGGGGAUUGUGUGCUUGAAGGUGAUGGCAUUGGGGCCAGUGUAGGCACAGGAGAUUGUCAGUACAAUGUGGACCCAGACCGUGCAGCUCAGGCUCGAUGGGAUGAGGCGAGCAAGGUGGCCAUAAAGGUGACAACAAAGCCCUGCCCCAAAUGUCGCACCCCAACAGAGCGAGCUGGUGGCUGCAUGCACAUGGUGUGCACACGGCCUCAAUGCAACUUUCACUGGUGCUGGAUCUGCCAGACAGAGUGGUCCCGCGACUGUAUGGGCAGCCAUUGGUUCGGAUAGACACAAACGAUGUCCAAAAGAAAAGCUUACAGGCCAUGCCUGGAAGGAGACACACCUCUAGAGGCAAGAUUUGAGUGUCCAAUCUGCUUGCAAUGUCUCUCAGAACCUGUCCUGACACCUUGUGGAUGCCGUUUCUGUAACAGCUGUAUCUGCGCAUGGUUAAAACGUGAGGGUGGUGUGUGCCCUGUUGACAACCAGCCACUCAACUCUGACAAGGACCUCUUUCCUGACAACUUCACCCGCAGAGAGAUUCAGGAGCUCGAUGUAAAGAACCAUCAGAAACGUUGGGGUAACUUGCAUACAUGUUUUAAUAGAGAGCCAAAAUCGCAAAAACAAACAAAAUCUGGUCAAGGAGCAACCACACGUCUCAAGUAUAUGUACUUUGACAGAUUACUUUUUCUCCUUCCUGAUGUUGAGCAAAGGAGAACGGAGUCAAAUGUUGGCCCUCAAGAAAAUGAAACAGAAACUAUUUCAGACUGUGAGACUGCUCAUGAGGGAACACCAUGCUGUCCCACAUUAUCAACGUACUGGCAAGGAAAAAUAUAUUGAAAAUAAUGAAACAUGAGGAACAGCAUCUACAAAUAUUGAAAGAGAAGACAACUGCAACAUCCGUAGAUGAAGAUACAUGCUUUGCACUGCCUUUAGUGCCAACAUUAAAGUCUUUACCCAGUGGAAAUAAAUUGCAGGUCAGGAUUGAAAUGUUAAGUACCUUACAAAAGUUUAAAUUUCAGUCAGCUACCAGCAUAUUCCAUCAAAAUCUAUGGGGGAAUCCCAUUGCCUUAUUUCAUUCAGCACCAUCUCCAUCCAUAUAUGUGUACCAAUCCCGUAGUGAGCAAUAUCACCUUAUUCCUACUCACUUCAUUCAAACCCACUGCCCACCACUUUUCAUCAAAUUGGCUUUCCUCCUUUUCAUCCCUCUGUUCAACAGUCUUUUCACUCAAACAGUGCAUUUUCUCCAAAUAUCCCACCAGUUAACCGAAUAGCCAGUGAUUCAUCAUCCACAAGAAUGCAAAAUGAGUCCACAGUUUCACCUGUCAGUGUUGCUUCAGAACCGUCAAUGAGCUCUUUCGUUUCCGAAUCUACAGUUUCAGAUAUUUUAGAUUUUGACUAAUGAAGUGUUCUGUUUCUGUGUUUAAAUGCUUGUAGAAUGAAAACAGAAUCAAAUUUAAACAAAAAGUUCUAUGAGAGUAUUAUCUGAAUAUGUACCUUUACUUUUUUGCCACUUAUUGACUUAUUUUCUUCGCUUUUAAGUUCAUUAAUAAAUGAUAUU